GAGCGAGAAUACCUUGUGAGCGGUGGUGAUAAACAAGCUAAGAGCACCGCCAAUCAAGGCAGAAAUCAACUUCCGCCGCCCCUUCAAGGGAGUGCCGACAAAGAGAAAAAUCAUGUUUCGCACGCCUCCGUUGCGAUCACGCAGCGAAACCGAAACCGCGAAAGGGGUGUUGCCGCAGUCUGCGCGACGCACGCGCUGAAACUAGAAAUCAGUUCUGUUUAUCUCUGCAAGAAGGUAGCACAAAUGUCAAACGCUUCUUGUAAGUCCUAAAAGAUGGCAGCACCUCCCAGUGAGCAUGCAUCGUCAUUAUGGCGCGAAAUUUCAAACAGAGGAUCGAAACUGUACCCGUACGGCAAAGACCUUGCGGGACAGAAAACCGCCGCCGUACAGAUACGGCAAAAACCUUCAAAGGGUU
rnacentral:lncRNA from 1 species